rnacentral:ncRNA from 1 species
UAAAAGUUUUAUUCUAGCUAUAAAAUUUAAUUUAAUUUUUAAUUUAUAUGUAAAUUUUAGUGUUUAUUUUGAAUUAUUUAAAUAAUAAUUUAUUAAAGUAAAAUAAAUUCGCAAUAUUAAAUAUUAAAUAUUAAAGAAAUUUAGAUUUAGAAAAAAUUAAUAAUAUUAACAUAAUUUGUGCCAGCAGUUGCGGUUAAACAGAUAAUAUAAUUAAAUUUUUUUCAGUAAAUAAUUAUUUUUUAUUAAUUAGAUUUAUUAUUAGAUUUAUUAGGUGAAAUUUUAAAUUUGAUAUAUUUUUUAAGAAAUUUAAAGAGGUUAUUAAAUUUAAUUAUUAAACUAGGAUUAGAUACCCUAUUAUAAUAAAUGUAAAUUAAUUUACUAGAGUAGUAAUUGUUAUGUUCUUGAAAUUUAAAGAUUUUGGCGGUAUUUUAGUCUUUUCAGAGGAACCUGUUCUAUAAUUGAUGUUCCACGAUUAAUUGAACUUAAUUUAUUAAUUUGUAUAUCGUCGUAGGUAGAAUAUUUUAAAAGAAUUAAAAAUAUUCAAAAUUUAAUUUGAUAAAGGAAAUCAGAUCAAGGUGCAGUUUAUAAUUAAGAAGAAAUGGGUUACAAUAAUUUUAUUUAUACGGAUUUAUGAAUGAAUAUUUAUAAUUAAGGUGGAUUUGAAAGUAAUAUUAAUUAUUUUAUUAGUAUGAUUUAAGCUCUAAAAUAUGUACAUAUCGCCCGUCGCUCUCAUAUAAAGUGAGAUAAGUCGUAACAAAGUAGAUUUACUGGAAAGUGUAUCUAGAUAGGC